UAUUGCUGAUCAUCCUUCUUGCUUUCCUCUCUUUCUCCUGCUCUGCCACAUGAUUUUUGAGAUGUAGGAACUAAAGGUAUGUACAACACAGAUGGGCUGAGCCACUGAACCAUGGCAUAGUGUUGUGUUGCUGCUUUCUUCUCUGUUACGUUCCUAUUAACUCCUAAAAUUCCAUUUUCUUCAUUUGCUUUUCCUGAGCACCACCGCCUGAUGGCUCUAUCCACAAAAGCUCCCAAAUCUCUUUCCUGUGUUGUGGUGUGCCUAUAAACUUGUAUUCACUGGUGCUUCCAUGGCAUGCGAGUAUUGAGUAGUUUGAGGAACAUCUGAGAUGCAAUUUACAAGUAUGCCAAUAUCAUGAAAGGAGAAGCCUUAUGAAUAUUACACGUGGAUCUAGAAUAAUCCUUUGAUGAGAAAACCUUGACGGUAUUUCAGAAGAGGAAGAAAAUCCGCCUCUGCAGAGUCACUAGAGACUUUGGCUAUUACUAAUUGAUUCUGCACGGAGAGCACGCAGUGGUGACAGCCAUCAGUCUGAAACGCAGUUCUGCCAUCUUCGAGAUAUCAGCUUCUUUAUAUCCUGUGUGGAAACAACAGAGAACUUCUAUGAAUUUAUAUACUGAGCAUCGAAGUGGGUCUCUGAACAUUUUGGAGACAACACAUCCCAGAGCUGAGCACUGCAGAAACAGCUGGGUGAAGUGUUCUACAGAUGCAGCAUUGCACACACUGAAGAACGUGGUUUCCUUUGCAGCAUCUUGUGCUACAGUCUUCAGCAGCCUUUGAAGAUAAUAUUUAAACAGCUCUUGGAAACUUCUUAUAUCAAAGCACAAAACAACCCAAAACUCAAGACAAUUGUCAUAGUGGGAUAUAUUGGGGAGCUACCAAAUGGGAGACCACCAGCCUCUCCUUGGAGCAAGACCUGUGGGAAGGAGGAGGAUUGUGCUGAAUAAUGGAGAAUGAAAUAUGGUCCCAGUGCAGACUUCUCCCAUCCAGCAGGAAAUUGUACCUCAGGGGAUGGAUCACUGCAAGAUGAGACAUUGCCAACAAAACAUCACGUGGUGAGAGGUGUGUGAUGAAAUGACAAGGACCAACCAAUAUCAGUGAUGUUAUAGCUUGUAAUAAUUAUUCUCAUGAGGCUGCUUCAUUCAUGCUAAAUAAACAGAAGUUUUUCAGAUG